GACGAACGCUGGCGGCGUGCCUAAUACAUGCAAGUAGAACGCUGAAGAGAGGAGCUUGCUCUUCUUGGAUGAGUUGCGAACGGGUGGGUAACGCGUAGGUAACCUGCCUGGUAGCGGGGGAUAACUAUUGGAAACGAUAGCUAAUACCGCAUAAAAUGGAUUAUCGCAUGAUAAUCCAUUGAAAGGUGCAAAUGCAUCACUACCAGAUGGACCUGCGUUGUAUUAGCUAGUUGGUGGGGUAACGGCUCACCAAGGCGACGAUACAUAGCCGACCUGAGAGGGUGAUCGGCCACACUGGGACUGAGACACGGCCCAGACUCCUACGGGAGGCAGCAGUAGGGAAUCUUCGGCAAUGGACGGAAGUCUGACCGAGCAACGCCGCGUGAGUGAAGAAGGUUUUCGGAUCGUAAAGCUCUGUUGUAAGAGAAGAACGAGUGUGAGAGUGGAAAGUUCACACUGUGACGGUAUCUUACCAGAAAGGGACGGCUAACUACGUG
rnacentral:rRNA from 1 species